rnacentral:misc_RNA from 1 species
GUCGAAGGUGGGGCUGAUGACUGGGGUGAAGUCGUAACAAGGUAUCCGUACCGGAAGGUGCGGAUGGAUCACCUCCUAACAGGGAGACAACACAAUGAUUUUGAUGCCUGAGUGCUUUUAUUCUUAGGCCGAAAUCCUGUCACCUUAGGUCGAUCGGUACCUCAGCUUUGAAGUCAAGGAUCAGCAGCAAUGUUGAUUGCUUGAUGGAGAUUUUCAGUUCCUAAACUUUGUCUAGGUCACACCCCAAAAGGGAUGAGACUCCUGGGCCAUUAGCUCAGGUGGUUAGAGCGCACCCCUGAUAAGGGUGAGGUCCCUGGUUCAAGUCCAGGAUGGCCCAUUCGGUGUUGGGGGUUUAGCUCAGUUGGUAGAGCGCCUGCUUUGCAAGCAGGAUGUCAGGAGUUCGAGUCUCCUAACCUCCACUGACCGAACUUGAUUCCCAUCUCCAAUUUUUUUGGAGUUGAGCUCGAUUGGAGUGUGAUUUAGAUGUGUCCGCUGGAUGAUCCCAGCUUCCUGUCAUUCCAAGUUUUAGGUUGAAGCCUUGAAUUUGGUUGAUAAGAUGCUGGGCUCGGAUCAAGUGAUCAAGCAAUUGAUGAUUUGAUUUGAAGUUCUAGCAGAACCUUGACAACUGCAUAGGUGAGUCUGGAAAAAACAAAGCAUCUUACAGAUGCAUUGUUUUGAAUCUGAUCUUCUGAAAGGGAGAUUAGAUCUAGAACAAUGAAAAUUCUUUUGAGCAAGAGCCGAGACUCUUGAGCGUUCUUUGAUUGGUGUCGAGCCAAUCAGAGUUUGAUCUUGUUUUUAGUAAUAAAAACUUGAGAAUCUGCUUUCAACGGCGGUAAGCGUUCAGGAGGUUAAUUGGUCAAGCUACAAAGGGCUCACGGCGG